GCGACUGUAGCUCAGUUGGUAGAGCCCACGAUUGUGGUUCGUGUUGUCGCGGGUUCGAGCCCCGUCAGUCGCCCCA
rnacentral:tRNA from 1 species